CGGCCAAACCAUAGGAGAAACAGAGACUUCAUCUCGAAACCCUAACCUUACUUAAAUCCUUCAAAAGUCAAAGAAGAAUUCAAUCAGGAUUCAAUCUUAAGCUAGAAUCUUGAUCACUAACAUUAGGAGAUCGAAAGCCAAUUUGGGUGGAUCGUCUAGUAACCAAGGCGGAGCGGAUAAUCGGUUGAAAGGAAAGCUCUAAAGGUAACAGGUAGAAACUUGCGGAUGUUGAUCAAGCACACUCAAGGACCGAACACACAAAUGGCAAAGCUUCCGCAA